AAUACGUUCCCGGGCCUUGUANACACCGCCCGUCAAGCCAUGGAAGUCAGGGAGACCUGAAGAUCGUAACCCUCAAGGAGCAUUUAGGGUAAAACUGGUAACUGGGGCUAAGUCGUAACAAGGUACCC
rnacentral:rRNA from 1 species